rnacentral:lncRNA from 10 species
GUGGUGACCUGGGAAUCAAUGUGUGAGGUGGUGCUAUGUAGCAGGAACCCCUCUUGCUUUGCAAAUAGUUUUUUGUUUGUUUUCCUUUUUGCCCAAUAGAGCCCUGCUCUACUGACCCUUCAAUGUGCCCGUGUGCCUAAAUAUUCCUGGUCGUGUGAAAAGAACCCAGGUAUUAGCUGAACUAAGGAGCACAAUUCUGCAACAUUUUGGCACCCAAACACGGGGCUUGAGAAAUGAAUGCAAUUGGAGAAACUGGUUGUUUUACCAGGCGUUGAUUGGAAAUGUGUGCUUCCCUUUAAGCAGUCAAGCUCAACUUGCAGAACUGAUGGGAACCCCUUGGGAAAACUGGCCUCAAAUGUUUGUCUACACAGUCCACAUACAGGGUUCUUAACCUGCGGAAACACUUUCUGAAAAUGUCAGAACUCUUGAAAACAUGGAUGAGGAAAAGCAUAAGUACUGCUUUAUGCUUUUCUUAUGAAUUUUAAAAGAUGUAAUUUAAAGAUUGAAACUCCCACAACUUUGGCAGACCAACUCCUCAGAAAACAUUAUUCUUUGACAUCAAUAUGUUUUGCACAAAAUUGAAUGGCAAGUGAAAGGCAUCAAAUGCAUAUUUAACUAUCCGGCUAUUUUGGAGAUUGAAAAAAGAAGACCUGAUUUAUCAUGUGCAAUAUCUCACACAUCUGUCAUUUCUAUUCUACCGCAAUUCG